ensembl:lncRNA
GCAGGUCUGAGAGGUGUCAAGUGUUCGUUGCAUUCUGCUGACACCCCCUGGUGCCAUUACCAAGCAAGGGCAAAGACUCAUAGCUCCCUGGUCCCCAGCUUGUCUCAGCUAUGGGAGGAAGAAGCCACUUGAUUUGAAUACUGAAGAGUUAAGAGCCAGACCAGAUGGCAAGGGAAAAAGACACAGGAGUGACAGGAAGCAGCUUCAAGUCUGUGGCUGGUGGGGAGGAAGAGAAAAUGUGCCUUUCUUUUUUAUUAUUUUAACUCUCAUGUAUCUGAAAAAUGUCUCAGUGUGUCCUCCAAGAGACUGGGGUGUUUCCCACUUGUCUGCGAAAAAUAUGCCGUGGAGAUGAUGUAGCAAAAUACGUGCAGAGUGUGGUAAAAUAUAUUUUAAAGUCCAGGGAAACAGUCAUCUCAAACUAAUGAUCAUCCUGAAUUGGCCACUCACUUCUGGUACUGACUAAGCAAUAGACUUAAAUCUCAUUUAAAAAUAAGCAUAUG